UACGUAGGGGGCUAGCGUUGUCCGGAAUCAUUGGGCGUAAAGCGCGUGUAGGCGGUCCGGUAAGUCCGCUGUGAAAGUCGGGGGCUCAACCCUCGAAUGCCGGUGGAUACUGUCGGGCUAGAGUGCGGAAGAGGCGAGUGGAAUUCCAGGUGUAGCGGUGAAAUGCGUAGAGAUCUGGAGGAACACCGGUAGCGAAGGCGGCGUCCUGGACCAACACUGACACUGAUGAGCGAAAGCCAGGGGAGCAAACGGG
rnacentral:rRNA from 1 species